UGUGUCUGUAGCGUGUCUGCAUGAAAGUCUGUAGCGUGUCUGCAUGAAAGUCUGUAGCGUGUCUGCAUGAAAGUCUGUAGCGUGUCUGCAUGAAAGUCUGUAGCGUGUCUGGAUGAAUGUCUGUAGCGUGUCUGCAUAAAUGUCUGUAGCGUGUCUGGAUGAAUGUCUGUAGCGUGUCUGCAUAAAUGUCUGUAGCGUGUCUGCAUGAAAGUCUGUAGCGUGUCUGCAUGAAAGUCUGUGUACGACCGGACUGUCUGUGGCGCGUCUGUAGGGCUGUCUGUGAGCAUGUCUAUCGUUCGGGCUGUCUGUAGCAUGUCUGUAGGGCCGCCCGUAGCGUGGCUGUUGGACUGCCAGUAACGUGUCCAUAGGACCAUCUGUAGCGCGUCUGUAGCGUGUACGUAGGACCGCCUGUAGGACCAUCUGUAGCGCGCCCGCAGGACCGUCUGUAGCGUGUCCCCGGGACUGUCUGUAGCGUGUCCCCGGGACCGUCUGUAGCGUGUCCCUGGGACCGUCUGCAGCGUGUCCCCGGGACCGUUUGUAGCGUGUCCCCGGGACCGUCUGUAGCGUGUGUCUUUCGGACUGUGUGGCGUGUCUGUCGUUCGGACUGUCUGUAGGACCGUCUGUAGCGCGCCCGCGGGACCGUCUGCAGCGUGUCCCCGGGACCGUCUGUAGCGUGUCCCCGGGACCGUCUGUAGCGUGUCCCCGGGACCGUCUGCAGCGUGUCCCCGGGACCGUCUGCAGCGUGUCCCCGGGACUGUCUGCGAGUACGUUACCACAACAGUAACAUUUGUGCCUUGAAUCCAAUAAAAGUUUCAAUAAUUCAUCUUUAAACCAAAUCAAUUGAAAAUCUCCUUUGGAUCUUCCUAGUGCUACUUACUGUAUGUACAACAUUGUCACCCCAGUCGAGUGAACUCUAGUAAACCUCAGCGUCACAGAGAGGAGUCACUACAGAAGGGACCAGCAUGUUGAGGCACCUGGAAGCAUGGGGUUGCACAUUAGCUGAAAUCAGAGGAUCUAAGCUAUGUCUGCUAUUUCUGCAUCCCAAAUAGCCCAUACAGCCCUGGUCAAAAGCAGUGCACUCUGUAGGGAAUAGGGUG
rnacentral:lncRNA from 13 species